rnacentral:lncRNA from 1 species
UCUUGGAAUCUUGGUUAGGCUCGCCAGCUAAUUUUACAUCCAUUAGCAUGUACCUCUCUCUUUACCAAUUCCGAAAAGUAAAUUUGAUGAGCGUUGUGAAGUCACAAAGUGGACACCAUGUGAAUACUCUCAUUUUCAUACUCGCGGAUACAAAGUGAAAUGGUUCAAGUUGCACCUGUUUUCAGUACAAAAAAGAAUUAGAAAGAAGAAAAGAUUUCAACGACAUAAGAAAAUAACCUAUUGAGAAUAGCAAAGGAGUGUCGCCUAUCUCCAUAGUACCAGAAAGCAAAAAGAUUAUCAUGUUAUAGAUUGAUAGGAGUUCUGAAGCUGAAGGCAUUUUAAAUUGAAAUCGUUUAUCUACUCUAUCCGAGGAAAGCUCAUAUCUUCUAAUACUUUUGCAAUUAAGCUCGCCUUCUUUAAUUCAUUUUCUGCAAAGUACUCAUUGACUAGAGUUUCUCACCGUAUCAAUGCACUAAUUGAAACAACUACCACAUAUAUUGCAAACAGUAAACUGUUGUCCACUCUAAAGCUUUAAAGGACAUAAAUCAAGCAAGUUUUCGCACUACCUAGUCUGAGCAAAAAUAGGGCAAAUAGAAAACUACAUAGAGUUCACUCUUAACAACUAAAUAUUAUGACGACAAAGCAGAACAUUGAAUGAUCCAGUUUCCCGAAUUAAGAAAACUGAAUCAGGUGCUUUCAAAUGGACAUCAAAACAUGCAAAGAUUAAUUGCCUGAUAUAUGGACUCUGUGAUAUGAUAUAAAUGCUCUAGAUUACUCCAAUUUCAAAGUUACAGAGGGCGAUCGCACUACAAUAUAUUAUCAGCAGACUCACAUACUAACACUGAUAAUAUCUAUGUUCAGAGUAGAGAUGUAGUAGACACAAACCACAAACCAAGAUCACUUCAAUCAGCUAAGUUUCAAGAUGAUAGCGGACUGAUAUAUGAACUCUGCUCUAAAGUAAUCAAAUUUCAAAAUUACAGGGGGGCAAUGAAACCACGGUAACCC